AGCACAGCAACGCGUACUGGCGGCCCCGUCUUGGUCCUGGCCUGGGUCUGGGGGCCGCCGCGCAGAGACCGCCGGGCCAAAGGCGUCCAGAGUGUGUCCGCCGCCGCCUCCUCGUUCAUCAUCGUCGCCUUUUCUCCCUUAUUAUUAUUAUUAUUAUUAUUAUUCCCUUCUCCCUGCGGCGGCGGCGAGGGAGAGAAGGGAGGAGGAGCGCCUGGCCUUCCUCCACACCGGUUAGAAAAGAAGAACAACAUGUUAUAACCACCACCAUCACCACCAACACCACCAUCACCACUAUGGCAACCACCACCCCCACCACAUGGCUGCCACCAACACCACCACUACCAGUACAGCAACCACCACCACCACCACCACCACCACUCAGCCCACCGUCAUAGAGAGUGGGCGGCCUCACCCUUUCCUGCCCUCGUAUUUGCUGGACAGUGUGGAGGAUGGCUUGGGCAGCAGUGGCAGCAGUGAGGUGGCGGCCGGCGGAGGGGGAGAGAGACAGGCGGAGAAGAACGUCAAGGUCCAUUUCAAUUCUUCCUUCAACGUUGUCAAGUACAGGGACAUCAAGGUGUGUGUGUGUGUGUG